rnacentral:rRNA from 1 species
GUAGGUGGCAGGGCGUUGUCCGGAAUUAUUGGGCGUAAAGCGCGCGCAGGCGGUUCUUUAAGUCUGAUGUGAAAGCCCACGGGCUCAACCGUGGAGGGUCAUUGGAAACUGGAGAACUUGAGUACAGAAGAGGAAAGCGGAAUUCCACGUGUAGCGGUGAAAUGCGUAGAGAUGUGGAGGAACACCAGUGGCGAAGGCGGCUUUCUGGUCUGUAACUGACGCUGAGGCGCGAAAGCGUGGGGAGCAAACAGGAUUAGAUACCCUGGUAGUCCACGCCGUAAACGAUGAGUGCUAAGUGUUAGGGGGUUUCCGCCCCUUAGUGCUGCAGCUAACGCAUUAAGCACUCCGCCUGGGGAGUACGGCCGCAAGGCUG